UACGUAGGGGGCUAGCGUUGUCCGGAUUUAUUGGGCGUAAAGCGCGCGCAGGCGGUUUCUUAAGUCUGAUGUGAAAGCCCACGGCUCAACCGUGGAGGGUCAUUGGAAACUGGGAAACUUGAGUGCAGAAGAGAAGAGCGGAAUUCCACGUGUAGCGGUGAAAUGCGUAGAGAUGUGGAGGAACACCAGUGGCGAAGGCGGCUCUUUGGUCUGUAACUGACGCUGAGGCGCGAAAGCGUGGGGAGCGAACAGG
rnacentral:rRNA from 1 species